GAUGAAGAACGUAGCGAAAUGCGAUAAGUAAUGUGAAUUGCAGAAUUCAGUGAAUCAUUGAAUCUUUGAACGCACAUUGCGCCCUCUGGUAUUCCGGGGGGCAUGCCUGUUCGAGCGUCAUUAUAACCACUCAAGCUCUCGCUUGGUAUUGGGGUUCGCGGUUCCGCGGCCCCUAAAAUCAGUGGCGGUGCCUGUCGGCUCUACGCGUAGUAAUACUCCUCGCGAUUGAGUCCGGUAGGUCUACUUGCCAGCAACCCCCAAUUUUUACAGGUUGACCUCGGAUCAGGUAGGGAUACCCGCUGAACUUAAGCAUAUCAAUAAGCGGAGGA
rnacentral:misc_RNA from 1 species